AUUGAACGCUGGCGGCAUGCCUUACACAUGCAAGUCGAACGGCAGCACGGGGGCAACCCUGGUGGCGAGUGGCGAACGGGUGAGUAAUAUAUCGGAACGUGCCCUAGAGUGGGGGAUAACGUAGCGAAAGUUACGCUAAUACCGCAUACGAUCUACGGAUGAAAGUGGGGGAUCGCAAGACCUCAUGCUCAUGGAGCGGCCGAUAUCUGAUUAGCUAGUGGUAGGGUAAAGCCUACCAAGGCAUCGAUCAGUAGCUGGUCUGAGAGGACGACCAGCCACACUGGAACUGAGACACGGUCCAGACUCCUACGGGAGGCAGCAGUGGGGAAUUUUGGACAAUGGGGGCAACCCUGAUCCAGCAAUGCCGCGUGAGU
rnacentral:rRNA from 1 species